GAACAAAAAUGAAUUUAGUUCAAAUUCCGACUCUGAUAUUUUGUAGAGAAAUAAAAACUGAGUUCA
rnacentral:snoRNA from 1 species